rnacentral:rRNA from 1 species
GUAGGGAAUAUUGCACAAUGGGCGAAAGCCUGAUGCAGCAACGCCGCGUGCGCGAUGAAGGCCUUCGGGUCGUAAAGCGCUUUUCGGGGGGAUGAGGAAGGACAGUACCCCCGGAAUAAGUCUCGGCUAACUACGUGCCAGCAGCCGCGGUAAAACGUAGGAGGCAAGCGUUAUCCGGAUUCACUGGGCGUAAAGCGCAUGUAGGCGGUCCGGUAAGUCGGACGUGAAAGCUCCUGGCUCAACUGGGAGAGGCCGUUCGAAACUACCGGACUUGAGGGCAGUAGAGGGAGGUGGAAUUCCGGGUGUAGCGGUGAAAUGCGUAGAUAUCCGGAGGAACACCAGUGGCGAAGGCGGCCUCCUGGACUGCUCCUGACGCUCAGAUGCGAAAGCUAGGGGAGCGAACGGGAUUAGAAACCCCUGUAGUCC